rnacentral:lncRNA from 1 species
GGAGUUCCAUUGGGUGCGUCCAAAUUGAUUUCUAAGCAUAUGGUAUGUUCCUUGCAAAUCAUGCACCUAUCUUGCAUCAAGAUUAGCACUAUCUCCAAAACAGAUCAAACCGAGCUUCCACUUGAGCCUCUUCACCAAAGUACCAACAGGUGCUUCCAAAAUGGUUUCUUAGACUAUGGUGCAUUAGUCACAAACCAUGCACAUAUUUUGCACUGAAACUAACACUGUUUCUAAAUAGAUCAAACCGAGAUUCCAUAUGACACACGUCAUCAAGGAGUCCCAUCAGGUGCAUCCAAAUUGUUUUCCAAGCAUUUGGUAUGUUCCAUGCAAACCGUGCACCUAUCUUGCAUCAAGACUAACACUAUCUCCAAACACACCAAAACGAGCUUCCACUUGAGCCUCUUCAUCUAGGAGUAGAAACAGGUGCGUCAAAAAUGGUUUCUUAGACUAUGGUGCAUUAGGCACAAACUAUGCACCUAUCUUGCACCGAAACUAACAUUGUCUCCAAAUAGACUGAAGCGAGAUUCCAUAUGACACACAUCAUCUGGGAGUUCCAUUGAGUGCGUCCAAAUUGAUUUAUUAACAUAUGGUACGUUCCAUGCAAACUGUGCAACUAUCUUACAUAAAGAUUAACACUAUAUCCGAGCACACCAAAUCGAGCCUCCACUUGAGCCUCUUCAACUACGAGUACCAUCGGGUGCGUCUAAAAUGGUUUCUUAGCCUAUGGUGCAUUAGGCGUAAACCGUGCACAUAUCUUCUACCAAAAUUAAAACUUUCUCUAAACGAACCAAAGCAAGAUUCCAUAUGACACACAUUAUCAAGGACUUAUAUCAGGUAGGUCCUAAUUGAUUUCUGAGCAUAUGUAUGUUCCAUGCAAACCGUGCAUCUAUCUUGCAUCAAGAUUAGCACUAUCUCCAAACAGACCAAACCGAGCUUUCACUUGAGCCCCUUGACCUAGGAGUACCAUCGGGUGCGUCCAAAAUGGUUUCUUAACCUAUGGUGCAUUAGGUGCAAACCAUGCACGUAUCUUGCACUGAAACUAACACUAUCUCUAAAUGGAUCGAAGUGAGAUUCCAUAUGACACAUGUCAUCUAGGAGUUCCAUCUUGUGCGUCCAAAUUGAUUUCUGAGCAUAGGGUAUGUUCAAUGCAAAUCGUGCACCUAUCUUGCGUCAAGAUUAGCACUAUCUCUAAACAGACCGAACCGAGCCUCCACUUGAGCCUCUUCACCUAGGAGUACCAACAAGUGCUUCCAAAAUGGUUUUUUAGACUUCGGUGCAUUAGGCGCAAACUGUGCACAUAUUUUGCACCGAAACUAAUACUGUUUCUAAGCACACCAAAGCGAUUCCAUAUGACACACGUCAUCAAGGAGUUCUAUCGGGUGUGUCCAAAUUAAUUUCUAAGCAUAUGGUACGUUCCAUGCAGACCGUGCAUCUAUCUUGCAUCAAGAUUAGCACUAUCUCCAAAUAGACCAAACCAAGCUUUCACUUGAGCCUUUUACCUAGGAGUACCAUCGGGUGCGUCCAAAAUGGUUUCUUAGCCUAUGCUGUAUUAUAUGCAAACCUUGCACCUAUCUUGCACCGAAACUAACACUGUCUCCAAAUAGACCGAAGCAAGAUUUCGUGUGACACACGUCAUCUAGGAGUUCCAUCAUGUGCAUCCAAAUUGAUUUCCAAGCAUUUGGUAUGUUCCAUGCAAACUGUGCUCCUAUCUUGCAUCAAGAUUAGCACUAUCUCCAAACAGACCGAAUCGAGUAUCCACUUGAGACCCUUCACCUAGAAGUACCAACAAGUGUGUCCAAAAUAGUUUCAUAGACUAUGGUGCAUUAGGUGCAAACUAUGCACCUAUUUGCACCGAAACUAACAAUGUCUCCAAAUGGACCGAAGCGAGAUUCCAUAUGACACACAUCCUCAAGGAGUUCUAUCGGGUGCAUCCAAAUUGAUUUCCAAGCAUAUGGUAUGUUCCAUGCAAACCAUGCAGCUACCUUGCAUAAGGAUUAGCACUAUCUCCAAACUGACCGAACCAAGCUUCCACUUGAGCCUCUUCACCCAGGAGUACCAAAUAGUGCGUCCAAAAUGGUUUCUUAGACUAUGGUGCAUUAGGUGCAAACUGUGCACCUAUCUUUCACCGAAACUAACAAUGUCUCCAAAUGGACCGAAGCAAGAUUCCAUAUGACACAUGUCAUCAAAGAGUUCCAUCGGGUGCAUCCAAAUUGAUUUAUGAGCAUAUGACAUGUUCCAUGUAAAUCGUGCGCCUAUCUUGCAUAAGGAUUAGCACUAUCUCCAAAUUGACCGAACCAAGCUUCCACUUGAGCCUCUUCACCUAGGAGUACCAAAUAGUGCGUCCAAAAUGGUUUCUUAGACUAUGGUGCAUUAGGUGCAAACUGUGCACCUAUUUUGCACUAAAACUUACAAUGUCUAUAAACGGACCGAAGCAAGAUUCCAUAUGACACACGUCAUCUAGGAGUUCCACUGGGUGCGUCCAAAUUGAUUUAUAAGCAUAUGGUAUGUUCCUUGCAAAUCAUGCACCUAUCUUGCAUCAAGAUUAGCACUAUCUCCAAAACAGAUCAAACCGAGCUUCCACUUGAGCCUCUUCACCAAAGAACCAACAGGUGCUUCCAAAAUGGUUUCUUAGACUAUGGUGCAUUAGUCACAAACCAUGCACAUAUUUUGCACCGAAACUAACACUGUUUCUAAAUAGACCAAAGCGAGAUUCCAUAUGACACACGUCAUCAAGGAGUCCCAUCAGGUGCAUCCAAAUUGAUUUCCAAGCAUUUGGUAUGUUCCAUGCAAACCGUGCACCUAUCUUGCAUCAAGACUAACACUAUCUCCAAACACACCGAAACGAGCUUCCACUUGAGCCUCUUCAUCUAGGAGUAGAAACAAGUGCGUCAAAAAUGGUUUCUUAGACUAUGGUGCAUUAGGCACAAACUAUGCACCUAUCUUGCAACGAAACUAACAUUGUCUCCAAAUAGACUGAAGCGAGAUUCCAUAUGACACACAUCAUCUGGGAGUUCCAUUGGGUGCGUCCAAAUUGAUUUAUUAACAUAUGGUACGUUCCAUGCAAACUGUGCAACUAUCUUACAUAAAGAUUAACACUAUAUCCGAGCACACCAAAUCGAGCCUCCACUUGAGCCUCUUCAACUACGAGUACCAUCGGGUGCGUCUAAAAUGGUUUCUUAGCCUAUGGUGCAUUAGGCGUAAACCGUGCACAUAUCUUCUACCAAAAUUAAAACUUUCUCUAAACGAACCAAAGCAAGAUUCCAUAUGACACACAUUAUCAAGGACUUAUAUCAGGUAGGUCCUAAUUGAUUUCUGAGCAUAUCGUAUGUUCCAUGCAAACCGUGCAUCUAUCUUGCAUCAAGAUUAGCACUAUCUCCAAACAGACCAAACCGGGCUUUCACUUGAGCCCCUUGACCUAGGAGUACCAUCGGGUGCGUCCAAAAUAGUUUCUUAACUGGAACGCCUGAGGGAAAAUAGAUAAAGAAAAAAAGGUAAAAAAUAAAUAAAAAAUAAAAAAUACUGUAGCCGGCGCUACAGUACCCGCGGUGUACAGUACCACGCCCGACCCUUCUCCUACCCUGAGUCGGUGUUUUCCCUGUUCCUCCCAACCUGGUCACGAACCGCCGCCAUCCUACCUACAAAAUUCACGAAUGAGAGAAAGGAGAAGAGGGAAGAGGAGGAGAGGGCCUAGGGUUUUGCCACCGCCGUCGCCGCCACCGCCGUCGUCGGUCAUCCGUGGUGGUCGUUCUUCCUCCCGUGCAAAUUAUGGUUAG